UCGAAAGUAAAAGAAGAAGAAGAAGAGAAGAUACAAUGCAAAUAUAUAUAUAUAUAUAUAUAUAUAUUGGGUUUUUCCAAAGUUGUAUAGUUUGUAAUUUCGUUCUUAAUAAAAUCAAGUGUGAAGUGGAGUCUUAACAAGCAAGAGAAACGCCUCUACUGCCACUAGGACCCACACGUCUCCUAAUCUACGGUCCCAAUACCAUCCCAGCCAUUGAUCUUCCCUUUCUUUUUUUUUUUCAUUCGAUGGAACGACGUCGUCGGGGACAUAUAUAUAUAUAUAUAUGUAUAUAAUAUUUUAGAUAGACAAUACACGAAGACAGUAUAUUCGAUCGUCGGCGUGGAAAACCGGCGUUUGUCUGGGGAGUAGACAGACCGGCGGCUAACUGCAAAGAGAGUGUACGUGUGGGACCCAACCAAUACGCGCACCAAAGUGAAUCUCUUCGAGGACUCUCUCAACAAGUCUCUCUCUCUGUCUGAUCGAUCAUUGAUCUGAGUUGGACGGUGGACGUUAGUCAUCUUUGUGGACCCUACCUGUUUGUGUUAUUUGUGAAUCCUCUCUCAUCUCAGCCGUCCGAUCUCUCCCUCUCUCGUGGGCCCGACCAUCUUCCUCCUCUAUUUCUUCUUCUUCUUAUAUUGCGAUCCACGUCACCACCUCUCCCUCCC
rnacentral:lncRNA from 1 species